CUAUACAGAAGGAGCCACCUGCAAAAUGUUGAUGCUGUUAUUGAAAUCUCAAGUGGAAUCAGCUUUCAAAAAAUUAGAUAUUAGAUACAUCCGAUAUAAUUUGCAAUGUGUAAUUAUACUAAUGUGCAUAUAGUUGUGUGUUGCUUUACAUGUUGCCUACUUGAGAUUUUUUUUUUUCCCUUGGGCAUUUCUCCUCAUUUGAAAUGAUUCCUGAGUAGAAUGUUUUUAAAGUCAGCUUUUAUUUUAAAGUCAGCUUUUAUUUUUUAAAUUCCUUAUUAAUUAAUAAAAGAAGCAAAGAACUCCAUGUUCUCAUGUAAGAAUGAAUGUGUCUGACCUAGAUGUUGGAAAUUAACCGUCACUAAAAGGCUGAUUGUUGUGCAUACUUACAUUAUUUAUAAAAUAUUUGCUGCUCUUUACUGAUUUAGUCUUCAUCUUGACUUUGGACAACUUGAAGUAAUGGAGAAUAUUAGAAUCGUAAAUCUUAUUCAUAAGAAAUCCAUUUCCUUUAUUAGAAUAAUGAGAUAAAAUGCCAGUGGUCAGCCUGGCGCUCGGCGCUUGCUACAUGCUCAGCAGGUGUAGAUGCUCCUGAGGC
rnacentral:lncRNA from 1 species